rnacentral:rRNA from 1 species
UACGUAGGGUCCGAGCGUUGUCCGGAAUUACUGGGCGUAAAGAGCUCGUAGGUGGUUUGUCGCGUUGUUCGUGAAAACUCACAGCUCAACUGUGGGCGUGCGGGCGAUACGGGCAGACUGGAGUACUGCAGGGGAGACUGGAAUUCCUGGUGUAGCGGUGGAAUGCGCAGAUAUCUGGAGGAACACCGGUGGCGAAGGCGGCAUCCUGGACCAACACUGACGCUGAGGAGCGAAAGCCAGGGGAGCAAACGGG